rnacentral:rRNA from 1 species
AUUGAACGCUGGCGGCAUGCCUUACACAUGCAAGUCGAACGGCAGCAUAGGAGCUUGCUCCUGAUGGCGAGUGGCGAACGGGUGAGUAAUAUAUCGGAACGUGCCCUAGAGUGGGGGAUAACUAGUCGAAAGAUUAGCUAAUACCGCAUACGAUCUAAGGAUGAAAGUGGGGGAUCGCAAGACCUCAUGCUCGUGGAGCGGCCGAUAUCUGAUUAGCUAGUUGGGGGGGUAAAAGCUCACCAAGGCGACGAUCAGUAGCUGGUCUGAGAGGACGACCGGCCACGCUGGGACUGGGACACGGCCCAGACUCCUACGGGAGGCAGCAGUGGGGAAUUUUGGACAAUGGGGGCAACCCUGAUCCAGCAAUGCCGCGUGAGUGAAGAAGGCCUUCGGGUUGUAAAGCUCUUUUGUCAGGGAAGAAACGGUGAGAGCUAAUAUCUCUUGCUAAUGACGGUACCUGAAGAAUAAGCACCGGCUAACUACGUGCCAGCCGCCGCCGUAA